GAAGCAGAAACCAGAAUUAUGUUCCACGUGUCCCUGGCUGACCUGACAGCUCACCUGAGCAUUGCCUGCUCCUUGCACAAGGAGAAGGCAGGAGAUCAGCUCUCUGCAGUGAGAAUUCAUCUCCUAGUAAGGACCUAUCUUUUUAAUCUGAAUGGGAGCAGAUAUGGAUUUUGAAUGAAGUGGAUAAAGUACAAGACCUACCUGAUGUCAUAUAAACUGCUGUCUUUCA